rnacentral:rRNA from 1 species
AUUGAACGCUGGCGGCAUGCUUUACACAUGCAACUCGAACGGCAGCGCGGGCUUCGGCCUGGCGGCGAGUGGCGAACGGGUGAGUAAUGCAUCGGAACGUGCCCAGUAGUGGGGGAUAGCCCGGCGAAAGCCGGAUUAAUACCGCAUACGACCUGAGGGUGAAAGCGGGGGACCGAAAGGCCUCGCGCUAUUGGAGCGGCCGAUGUCGGAUUAGCUAGUUGGUGGGGUAAAGGCUUACCAAGGCGACGAUCCGUAGCUGGUCUGAGAGGACGACCAGCCACACUGGGACUGAGACACGGCCCAGACUCCUACGGGAGGCAGCAGUGGGGAAUUUUGGACAAUGGGGGCAACCCUGAUCCAGCCAUGCCGCGUGCGGGAAGAAGGCCUUCGGGUUGUAAACCGCUUUUGUUCGGGAAGAAAUCCUCUGGGCUAAUACCCCGGGGGGAUGACGGUACCGGAAGAAUAAGCACCGGCUAACUACGUG